UACAGAGGGUGCGAGCGUUGUUCGGAAUUAUUGGGCGUAAAGGGUGCGUAGGCGGUUCUAUAAGUCAGUGGUGAAAUCCGGCAGCUCAACUGUCGAUGUGCCAUUGAUACUGCAGAACUUGAGUACAGACGAGGUAGGCGGAAUUGACGGUGUAGCGGUGAAAUGCUUAGAUAUCGUCAAGAACACCGAUAGCGAAGGCAGCUUACUAGACUGUAACUGACGCUGAUGCACGAAAGUGUGGGGAUCAAACAGG
rnacentral:rRNA from 1 species